rnacentral:rRNA from 1 species
UGACAACCGGAGGAAGGUGGGAUGACGUCAAGUCAUCAUGGCCCUUACGGCCUGGGCUACACACGUGCUACAAUGGUCGGUACAAAGGGUUGCCAAGCCGCGAGGUGGAGCUAAUCCCAUAAAACCGAUCGUAGUCCGGAUCGCAGUCUGCAACUCGACUGCGUGAAGUCGGAAUCGCUAGUAAUCGUGAAUCAGAAUGUCACGGUGAAUACGUUCCCGGGCCUU